CAGCUUCGAUGUCGGUGUGGAGGUCAGAACAACCUCCCAAGCUGAUUUUGCAGCCUUGACCGGUAGCAUCGACGGGUGCCUGCUGAUCUUCGAUGCCGACAAUGGUUUUGAUGCCGACAAUGGUAUAGUAAGCUGAGCCUUCGACAUCGAUGUCAUCUCUAGUGUCGAUGAGAAGGAGGCUCUAUGCUGAUAGGGCUGCAAUGUCUGCCCACCCGGCCUUGAUAUCGAGGACGUCAAUAUCGAGUGAAGCGUCGAAGGAGGCUGUUGUGGAGUCGGGGCUGGAGAGAGCGAUACUGCCUGAUGAUGUGACUCAGUUCAAUGUUGAUCCAAGGUGUGUACAAUCUAUGGGGCUGACUCUGCUGCUUUGAAGCUCAGGCUGAGCCAGGGCCUGAAGAAGGGAAGAGGGAACAUCUUGGGCUGGCAGUGACUGUGUUUUUGCUUCUGCCCCACCUUUCUUCAGCUGAACGCUUAACUCUUGGACCGACGCCUCUCCACAGCUGAGACUGGUUGCACCUCCUCCACAAGAGCUGCCUCACCCGGGUCCAACUCAUCUUUGACUCCC